UGUCCAGUAACUCUUAUCCCUACCUCCUCGUAGUACGGCCGGAAAAUUCGAGCAACAAGAUCAGGUAACCAACCCUGGUGGGAACUUUGGUCGUAGACUGACAGGGAAGG
rnacentral:ribozyme from 1 species